rnacentral:lncRNA from 1 species
UUUGUUUGGUAUUCCAAAUACUAGCCUAUUGUGCUCUGUGCUUACACCCAAACUAUGCUUGUCUAGACCCAUUUAAUUUAUUUCCAGCACUGACACAGAUUGCCUGGGUUUGAGUCUUCAAAACUGUUUUUUUUUUUCAGGAUUUGAUUAAUCUUGUAAUAUUGCAUCAUUUUUUUCAGCAGAUUCAGUGCCAUGUGGACCAUGCUGCCACAUACUUCUCCCAAGUGUGCUAGUGCCUGACAAUGAUGGAUUGUGUUAUGUUAUCUUGACAUGUUUUAGAGUCAUCUGAGAAGAAUGAACCUCAGUUAAGAACAUUACUCCAGGAAAUGGUUUCUCCCUUGAUUCCUGACUUGUAUUUGCUCAAUGAUGGAGAGUGCAAUUGUUGCCCUGCAUAAUAUGUUUCAGCACUGGAAGAUUGAGACAGGAAGAACAUCAGAAGUUCUUUACCAACCUAGGCUACAUGGGUUGUUCAGGAAACUCAAAAAAUAUUACAAGCCAUUUCUAUUGCCCCUGACUGUCACUCAGAGUGAAAGGAGACCUGAACAAGAGUGUCGCCAAUGGACAUGCUAAUGUGGACAUUGAACAGUCAAGAGAACUUUACACUACCCAAAGAACUUUAGGCAACUGAAGAACACUGAGAGGAAGAGAAUUUCUCUUCCCCAGGGAAGAGGACACCAAUUGUUUACCACAAAGCAAAUGC